rnacentral:rRNA from 1 species
CCCUUAGAUGUCCUGGGCAGCACGCGCGCUACAAUGGUCUUCGCAAACGGAUGCAUUCUCGAAGGAGAAUGCCAAUCUUGGAAUCUAUGCCUUGGUCGGGACAGUUGCUUGCAAUUUUUCGACUCGAACCAGGAAUUCCUUGUAAUCGUGAUUCAUCACAUCACGAUGAAUACGUCCCUGCCCUUUGUACACACCGCCCGUCGCUCCUACCGAUCGAAGAGUUAGGUGAACUGUUUUGAUCGAUAAGAUUUGACUAUGGUCAACUCUCGUUGUGAAAUUCUGUGAAUCUGACUGUUUAGAGGAAGGAAAAGUCGUAACA